rnacentral:rRNA from 1 species
CUCAGUGGCGGACGGGUGAGUAACACGUAAGAAUUUGCCUUUAGGAGGGGGAUAACAACUGGAAACGGUUGCUAAUACCCCAUAUGCUUUCGAGUGAAAUGGGUUUCCGCCUAAAGAGAAGCUUGCGGCUGAUUAGCUUGUUGGUGAGGUAAUGGCUCACCAAGGCGACGAUCAGUAUCUGGUUUGAGAGGAUGAUCAGACACACUGGAACUGAGACACGGUCCAGACUCCUACGGGAGGCAGCAGUGGGGAAUUUUCCGCAAUGGGCGAAAGCCUGACGGAGCAAUACCGCGUGAGGGAUGACGGCCUAUGGGUUGUAAACCUCUUUUUUCAGGGAGGAAUCAAUGACGUGUACCUGAAGAAUAAGCAUCGGCUAACUCCGUGCCAGCAGCCGCGGUAAGACGGAGGAUGCAAGUGUUAUCCGGAAUCACUGGGCGUAAAGCGUCUGUAGGUGGUCAAAUAAGUCAACUGUUAAAUCUUGAGGCUCAACCUCAAAAUCGCAGUCGAAACUAUUAGACUAGAGUAUAGUAGGGGUAAAGGGAAUUUCCAGUGGAGCGGUGAAGUGCGUAGAGAUUGGAAGGAACACCGAUGGCGAAGGCACUUUACUGGGCUAUUACUAACACUCAGAGACGAAAGCUAGGGUAGCAAAUGGGAUUAGAUACCCCAGUAGUCCUAGCCGUAAACAAUGGAUACUAGAUGUUGAACAGAUCGACCUGUGCAGUAUCAAAGCUAACGCGUUAAGUAUCCCGCCUGGGAAGUAUGCUCGCAAGAGUGAAACUCAAAGGAAUUGAC